rnacentral:piRNA from 1 species
UAGAAUCAUCGUCUCAUCUUUUGUCAUGG